rnacentral:rRNA from 1 species
UGCCGCGUGCAGGAUGAAGGCCUUCGGGUUGUAAACUGCUUUUGUACGGAACGAAAAGACUCCUUCUAAUACAGGGGGUCCAUGACGGUACCGUAAGAAUAAGCACCGGCUAACUACGUGCCAGCAGCCGCGGUAAUACGUAGGGUGCAAGCGUUAAUCGGAAUUACUGGGCGUAAAGCGUGCGCAGGCGGUUAUGUAAGACAGAUGUGAAAUCCCCGGGCUCAACCUGGGAACUGCAUUUGUGACUGCAUAGCUAGAGUACGGUAGAGGGGGAUGGAAUUCCGCGUGUAGCAGUGAAAUGCGUAGAUAUGCGGAGGAACACCGAUGGCGAAGGCAAUCCCCUGGACCUGUACUGACGCUCAUGCACGAAAGCGUGGGGAGCAAACAGGAUUAGAUACCCUGGUAGUCCACGCCCUAAACGAUGUCAACUGGUUGUUGGGUCUUCACUGACUCAGUAACGAAGCUAACGC